UGUUGACUCCCAAAAUGUGGUAUAUUUUUAACUCAAUUUGCAUGUUCAUGGAACAUUGUUUUUCCCACAUUUUACUCAUAGGUUUAACUGCUCCAAGGCGAGAGUGUACCUCACCGAGUGUCAUCAUUAAUUUUGUUGACUUUUUCAGAGAUUGCUGCUAAUUCUGCUACGUCAGUCCUUGAACAAAAUGAUUUUUGACGACCACAUAAAUGUGAACGUUAUACUGUCCACCGACUUGUACUGCCUUAGAGGACGGCAUUGCCUGCUACAAUAUGGCGGCCGCUCUGACGUACGAAGAGGGGCUGGACACCUUUUGCAGUAUCUCCAGUUGUCUAAUGCACUUUUUACCGCCCCUUUCAGAAUUGACCAAUCAAGAGCGGAGGUUUUGGUUCACGCCAAAGAAAGUCUUCCGGAAAGGAAUAUUAUGGGCCCAAUCAAUUUUAUUAGAGUAAAUGGGAGUGUUUCCAAGUUAGUUUGACUUCAUAAUUGUGGACAUAUUUAAAAUCAAUGAUGGCGUAGAGCUUCUACGAUACGUUACCUUACGUUGAGCUGCUGACCAACCUGAGCCAAUAAUAACAAGGGAGGUAAUCUCUGUGGUUAAGUGAGGCCUAAUAAAAUCAACUGGUGCUUCCCCAAAUGCCACUCAUGCCACAUAGAUCGAAGCAUUAAGAGUCUCUCCCUCCAUAUAUGUACUACUGUGGUGCAAGCUCCAGUUUUCUAAUCCUUCACCAGUCUCGAUCUAAUUAAAGGCCUCAUCCGCGGCACCUCAUUUUCAAAAGUCACUCCCUUCAAUUACUGAUGACAAGUGAGCACCGACGCACAUUAACCUCCUACGUGAAGAGCUCCUUUAGCUGCCCACCAUCUCUCUCUCUGCAAUAACACAUUGGCAAAUCCAAAGGCAAUUUCACCUCUUUGGAAUUUGAUAAGACAGUGUUUUUCAUGCUAUGUUUUGCAAUAUGUUUUGGUCACGUGGCUCACUGCUGGCAAAGUCAGCAGCGAAGGCUCGUGCUGGGGUGUUAAUUAUUGUCUAUACAUGUUCCCCAUGUGAUUUCUCUGAGCUUCCUGCAAGCGAGACCAACAAGACUGACAAGACCUCAAAAACAGGAUAAGGAUCCACUUCAAAUGACUGCGUGCUAUGAGAGGCGUGACCUAUUUCUUCCACCUAUUUCACGUCGAAGCGCAUAUAAAACUGAUUGACUUUGCCACUAUUAAAACGGACACUGGGCUGUCGUAACUUGAUUGCACCAGUGACGGCUACGCUCAGCAAGGUUUAUGGAGAUAUUAACAUCGACCAAAUUAAAAGCGAAAUGGGAUUCAUCUUAUCAUGGUCUGAUGUAGAGUAGCUACUGCGUAAAUCUGAAGAAAAUAGAUGUUUACUAAUGUUCCCUGUAAGGAUUAAUUUCCUAACACUAUUAUGUUAACUAACAAGGUAGACACAUAAUGGUAAUUCGGCCAAAUAUAUUUUGAUCAAAAUCAGCAAAGGCCUGAUUUUUGGAUGUCUCUCAAAGAGUAUCCUGAGAUAUCUGGUGCUGUAGGAGUCGAGUAAUUUCUCCACCCCUGCCGACUUAGAAAGCAAUCUAGGCUGAUGAUCGUUAACAGUUGAACAUGUUCAAAAUUUAUGAUCACUAGUCUUUACGUUGAAGGUCUUCACCAAGUUGGACCAAACCCUGUGAUUGUGACAAACUGAAUCAUCGACAGUCAGGAAGCUGUCUUAUGGUCAUCCUACUGCCGGAGAUAAAUAGAUGAAUUAAUGUGGUGCUGACACAAGUCGCCACAGGAAAAAAAAACAGGACACGAGUUCCUACAAAGAUAAGCUCACAGUUAGGCUAGCUUCUUUUUCAACUACUACCCAUAGUCUUUCUUUUUUGCAUUUUUUGUCAGUCUGGAAGCCUGGUGGAACCAUUUUGCCUCACACUGUCAAUUGGCACGCCGUAAGUAGGAGACGUGAUUGUCAGUGGAGCUAUCGUUAUGUGUUGUGUUAUGUUGCUGAUCUCAAGUACACCACACACUAUAAUAAGAGGAGUAAGAACAAAUGUCACUUUUCCCUUCCCAUGGUGGGGUCUCACACAUUUUGAAUAUCGGUAUGUAACACGCUCUGUGGCAAUAUCCUGCUUUGCUGGUUUUGGACAGCAAAAAUAGAAAAAUAGUGUACGUGCUGUUACAAUUCUGAUCACAUUGUCACAGAGGCCUUCUUUUUUAAGACUUAAAGUUCUAUUUCACCGGCAAGAGAUGGAAUGUAAACCCCAUAAACAAGUAAGUAAAAGUCCAUGUCAUAAACUACUAGAUCACACUAAAAGUUCAUACUGGCACUUGCUGCUAGAGGAAGGGUUCGUCACUUAGCCUGAAUAAAGAAUAAAAUAAAAUGUCAUGUUGAAUUUGCUAUUUCCUCAGCAAAUUUUGACAGAGAUUGCAGAAACAGGAAGCCAGGCAGACACCCAUCAAGGAAGUGACUGAAACCAGUAUUCAUAAACAUGUUUGUGUCUGUAAAUUAAUUUCAACAUAAUAUAUCCUGUUGUUGUUGUUUUAAAUCUCUCUCUUUCAU